GAAAUGCGAUAAGUAAUGUGAAUUGCAAAAUUCAGUGAAUCAUCGAAUCUUUGAACGCACAUUGCGCCCGCCAGUAUUCUGGCGGGCAUGCCUGUUCGAGCGUCAUUUCAACCAUCAAGCCCCCGGCUUGUGUUGGGGACCUGCGGCUGCCCGCAGGCCCUGAAAAACAGUGGCGGGCUCGCUGUCACACCGAGCGUAGUAGCAUACAUUCUCGCUCAGGGCGUGCUGCGGGUUCCGGCCGUUAAACGACCUUCAUAACCCAAGGUUGACCUCGGAUCAGGUAGGAAGACCCGCUGAACUUAAGC
rnacentral:misc_RNA from 1 species